UUACUCCAAGUUUACACACAGCUUACACCGAGAUGUAAAAACUCCGCUUCACUCCUGUUUUACACAAGGGUUACUCCCCGGUGUAAAAACUCUGCUUCACUCCAUAUUUACACACAGGUUACUCCAAGGUUUAAAACCUCAGUUUUACUCCAAGGUGUAAAUGCUCCACUUUACUCCAAGUUCACACACAGUUUACUCCCAGGUGUAAAAGCUCCGCUUUACUACAGGUUUAGUCCAAGAUGUAAAAACUCCAUUUUACUCUGUAUUUACACCCAGGUUACUCCAAGGUAUAAAACCUCUGUUCUACUCCAAGGUGUAAAAAGUCUGCUUUACUCCCAGGUUACUCCCAGGUUACUCUCAGGUGUACAAGUUCCAUUUUACUCCACGUUUACUCCCAGGUUACUCCCAGGUGUACAAGUUCCAUUUUACUCCGUAUUAACACCCAGGUUACUCCCAGGUGUAAAAACUCCACUUUACUCCACGUUUACUCCCAGGUUACUCCCAGGUGUAAAAACUCCACUUUACUCCAUGUUUACACCCAGGUUACUCCCAAGCAUAAAAAACUCCAUUUUACUCUAUAUUUACACCCAGGUUACUCCAAGGUGUAAAAACUCCGUUCUACUCCAAGUUGUAAAAACUUCCCUUUACUCCCAGGUUACUCCCAGGUGUACAAGUUCCAUUUUACUCCACGUUUACUCCCAGGUUACUCCCAGGUGUAAAAACUCCACUUUACUCCACGUUUACUCCCAGGUUACUCCCACGUGUACAAGUUCCAUUUUUCUCCAUGUUUACUCCCAGGUUACUCCCAGGUGUAAAAACUCCACUUUACUCCACGUUUACUCCCAGGUUACUCCCAGGUGCCCCAGCUCCGCUCCACUCCGGCCUUCCUCCCAGCUGAGGGGGCGGGG